GUGUGAUCCUCCCUUGGGAUGUUGUGGGCGCCUGCUCUUUACCUCAGUCUGUCUCGUGACCACCGGUGGUGUGAUCCUCCGUGUGAUCCUCCGUGUGAUCCCCCGUUGGGAUGUUGUGGGCACCUGCUCUGUGCCCCACACUUGCCACGCGCUUCUCAUGGACUUUCCCUGGAUGCCAGGGAAAAACCUGAGCCCCUUCCCAAACGACCUUGCCUUUCUGUGAUUUCUGCUCUGGCUUCUCUGCAAAACCUCCCACUCUACUUACCUCCCCAUGUUCACUGAUGCUGCUCCUGCGUGAGACUCUUAUUGUUCCCAUUUACGUUGUGCUGUCUCAGGCUCCCGCACUGCAUCCGUCUCUCACCUGACUCCAUCGUCAGACUGCAGAGGGGAGGCGAGGGCGUUCCUGGCUGGAUUUCAUGGCUUCACCUUCGGUACUGAAGAAAAGGCCAAGUUCUGGGAUUAUGCAUGCCACUGCUUGACUACUGUCUCCUUGGUUUCUUUGACAGACAUUUAUCCAGCACCUGCUGUGUACCAGGCUCUGUUCUAGGUGCUGAGUAUACAAGAAUGGAGAAGUUCACCUAAAAUGUUACCAUCUUCUCUACAAUAUCUUACCUCAACAACACACUCUUGUGCCUGGAUUGUUGCAAUUGCUUCCGAAUCAGUUUUUCUGUCUCCACUCUUAAUGUCAUUCAAGACUUUCUGCACCUGACAGCACAACAGUCCCUCCAAAGUGUCACUCAGCAGCUUAACCCCCCCACACUGCCCUCGGGAGCAGCCCCCCAGUGUCUCACAGGGCUGAGAUGAUGCCCUCCUUGACUUGAACCUUCAUGCUUCUCAGAGAAACGCCUUUCAACUUGGUGCUGUCAGACCCACGUAGACUCUGCUGAAGCACAGCCAGUUCCUCUCAAUUCUCGAAUGAGCCACCUUCCCUCUCACCUCCAAGUGGCGGCUCACGCUGUUGACUGCCUGCACGAUGUUCUCCCUGGCUCUGCAGUUAAUUGCCUGUGUAUCACUCCUGCACCAUGGAGAAGGCAAUCAGAAACAUCCUUCCUCCU
rnacentral:lncRNA from 10 species